AUAAGCGUGGGGAGGCCCGAACCCGUUGUUGUAUCAAUAACAUGGGAUGAGGUGUGGUUAGAGGUGAUAUGCCUAACGAACUCGGAGAUAGCUGGUUCUCCUCGAAAUAUAUCUAAGUAUAGCCUGAAAAUUUUAGUUGCAGGGGUAGAGCACUGAAUGGAUUCUGGUCGAGCAAUCGGUCAGGUUCAAAUAAACUCCGAAUACUGCAAUGUUAAUUUCAGAGUCAGUCCGAUCCGGCUAAGCGGAGCGGGCCUGAGGGAAACAUCCCAGACCAACAGCUAAGGUCCCUAAAUGUCCUGCAUUUUGCAGGGUCUUAAGUCUUAAUUUAUUAAGGCUCAGGAUAAGUUAAGUGUUAAAGGUAGUCUUUAUCCUUAGACAGCCAGGAAGUUGGCUUAGAAGCAGCCAUCUUUUAAAGAUAGCGUAACAGCUCACUGGUCUAUUACGGGUAAAGGCGCCGACAAUUAAUCGGGGCUUAAACUUACUACCGAAGCUUUGGAUUUGGAUCGAGAAAUCGAUUCAAGUGGUAGAGGAGCGUUCUAUAUGGAGUGAAUCUCCGUCGUAAGGCGGGGUGGACUGUAUAGAAGUGAGAAUGCCGGUAUGAGUAGCGUAUUCCCGUGAGAAACGGGAUCGCCGAAUGCCCAAGGUUUCCCACGCAAUGUUAAUCAACGUGGGGUUAAUCGGUCCUAAGGUGAGGCCGUAUGGCGUAGCCGAUGGAUAACAGGUCAAAAUUCCUGUAUUGGAGUUAUUCUGACAAGCUCGGACAAGUUUCUUUUAGAAAUUUGUUUGAGGCUUACAAGGGUUGACGAAGUGGGAAAAAUCUUCCCCGUCAUUGGCGGGGUUAAGUAACAAGGUAGUGGAGGUUGGCAAAUCCGCCUCUAAGUCAAGAUUUUUGACUUAGUCUGAUGGAGCAAUCUGUCAGACUACAAAAUCGAGUUACGAUGAGGUAACAAGAUAUUUUUCUGUUUCCAAGAAAAUGCUCGUGUAAGAGAAUAAUUUUAACCGUACCGUAAACCGACACAGGUGGGCGAGUUGAGUAUACAAAGGCGAUCGGGAGAACUAUCCUUAAGGAACUCGGCAACGAAAGCUGGACGUAACCUUUGGGAGAUGUCCUGUCCCGCUGCAAAGCGGGAUUACAAUAAAAGACGCUAAGCGACUGUUUAACAAAAACACAGGUCCCUGCUAAAUCGAAAGAUGAUGUAUAGGGGCUGACACCUGCCCAGUGCCAGUAAUUUACUGUCUCAAGUGACUUCCACCGCAAGGUGGGAUGAGCCUGGGGCCUAAGAUCUGGUGAACGGCAGCAGUAACUAUGAAGAAUAUUGUAGUUGUAAAACCGAGCUAUAUGCUGGAAUAUCUGUGUAUCUUGAGCUAGUUGACUUUUGGUUUAAUUUCGGGUAAUACUAAAAUUAAUGCCUAAUUCA
rnacentral:rRNA from 1 species